AUUUUCACUUUUUCAUAUCCCUGGAUAUGAUUUCUUGAGAUGGCAGCUUGUUGGACACAUGGAUGUUCAGAUUUGUACUUACUGUCAACCUCGGUUGGUGUGUAGGUGGAAAGCCCAGAGAAGUUCUCCUUGUGUCAGACCAGCUUUGUGAUGAAUGUUUGUUAGCAUGACCUUCGCCUUUCAUUAAAUGUUACCUUUUACCCUCCAAAUUAAAAAUUAAUGCCACUC